rnacentral:rRNA from 1 species
AUUGAACGCUGGCGGCAUGCUUUACACAUGCAAGUCGAACGGCAGCGCGGGCUUCGUCCUGGCGGCGAGUGGCGAACGGGUGAGUAAUGCAUCGGAACGUGCCCAGUAGUGGGGGAUAGCCCGGCGAAAGCCGGAUUAAUACCGCAUACGACCUGAGGGUGAAAGCGGGGGACCGAAAGGCCUCGCGCUAUUGGAGCGGCCGAUGUCGGAUUAGCUAGUUGGUGGGGUAAAGGCUUACCAAGGCGACGAUCCGUAGCUGGUCUGAGAGGACGACCAGCCACACUGGGACUGAGACACGGCCCAGGCUCCUACGGGAGGCAGCAGUGGGGAAUUUUGGACAAUGGGGGCAACCCUGAUCCAGCCAUGCCGCGUGCGGGAAGAAGGCCUUCGGGUUGUAAACCGCUUUUGUUCGGGAAGAAAUCCUCUGGGCUAAUACCCCGGGGGGAUGACGGUACCGGAAGAAUAAGCACCGGCUAACUACGUG